rnacentral:rRNA from 1 species
AUUGAACGCUGGCGGCAUGCCUUACACAUGCAAGUCGAACGGCAGCACGGGAGCAAUCCUGGUGGCGAGUGGCGAACGGGUGAGUAAUAUAUCGGAACGUGCCCAGUCGUGGGGAUAACGUAGCGAAAGCUACGCUAAUACCGCAUACGUCCUACGGGAGAAAGCGGGGGGAUCUUCGGACCUCGCGCCAUUAGAUGAGCCUAGGUCGGAUUAGCUAGUUGGUGAGGUAAUGGCUCACCAAGGCGACGAUCCGUAACUGGUCUGAGAGGAUGAUCAGUCACACUGGAACUGAGACACGGUCCAGACUCCUACGGGAGGCAGCAGUGGGGAAUAUUGGACAAUGGGCGCAAGCCUGAUCCAGCAAUGCCGCGUGCAGGAUGAAGGCC